rnacentral:lncRNA from 1 species
UUCACUAUAACCCCCUUGGAUUACAGUCGGUUGUUUUGCAAGCUCACAACCAAACUUAUUGUUUUACGAGCUCACAACGAACUCGGUCGGUUUUCCCAGGCUCACCGACUAGAACCAACCCCGAUUGUUUUCCCGGGCUCACAAUCAAACCCUUACACACGUUGGUUUUAACUUGGCUCACCAACCAACCUUGAUCCCCUUGAUUCAAUCCCCCGAUUGAAUCAAGUACAUACAAGAAAUAGAAGAAAACAGAAAAUAGCUUCUCAAAAAGCAGAUUUAAAACAAUAUAA